AGAACGAACGCUGGCGGCAGGCCUAACACAUGCAAGUCGAACGAUAAGCCACCUUCGGGUGGUGGACAGUGGCAGACGGGUGAGUAACGCGUGGGAACGUGCCUUUCGGUUCGGGAUAACCCAGGGAAACUUGGGCUAAAUACCGGAUACGCCCUUCGGGGGAAAGAUUCAUUGCCGAAAGAUCGGCCCGCGUCGGAUUAGCUAGUUGGUGGGGUAAUGGCCUACCAAGGCGACGAUCCGUAGCUGGUCUGAGAGGAUGACCAGCCACACUGGGACUGAGACACGGCCCAGACUCCUACGGGAGGCAGCAGUGGGGAAUAUUGGACAAUGGGCGCAAGCCUGAUCCAGCCAUGCCGCGUGGGUGAUGAAGGCCCUAGGGUUGUAAAGCCCGUUUCGGGCGGGAAGAUAAUGACGGUACCCGCAGAAGAAGCCCCGGCUAACUUCGUGCCAGCAGCCGC
rnacentral:rRNA from 1 species